CCGACGAAAUAGGACACCGUGGAGAAGGAGGGGGGUGAAAUGUGCCGUUCCUCUUCGCCUCCACGCCUCUAGAUCUCCGCCUGUAUUCUCCCAGAACCGUUUCUACGUGGGCUGCGGCGAAAGGGAAAAAUGUCAGAUUCCAGCAGUGGCCGCGUCGCUCGCUUCCCCUCCUUCAGGAAUGGUGGUUGUCCCCCCCGUCUGCGCUUCGGACUUCAUGCGACCAUGUUGCCCUGAAUGUCGCCUGCUGCUGCUCUCAUCCGGGCGUUUAGGGAUUGAGCCGUCCGUCGUCUCAGCAGCGCUCAGGAUGACAGCUUUGGGAUGAAGGAGGAGGAGGAGGAGGGGGGAGUAGCGUGAGACAGGGAAGGAGAGAGAGAGGGGGAGAGAGAGAGGAGCAGUGGUCAAUCUGGUUCACGCUCACUGAUCAGACACAACAUUAAAACCACAAACAGACCAAGCAGAUGCCAAAGGCCCCACCCUGCAUCCCACAGGACCCAAAAGAUCUGCUGCCAACGUCUCAAAUCCAGACACCUCUGGAUGUCCCGUGUCCAUGCCCCGACAGCUGUCCUCCUCGUGCCCUGAAGGACUACCCAAUAAACACAAACAUAACCUCUCAAGCAGGUGAACCAGCUCGUCUCAAAUGCUUAGACGGAGAGUAAGUUCAGAGUAUUGAAUAAGAUGUCUGGAU
ensembl:lncRNA